UACGGGGGGAGCAAGCGUUGUUCGGAAUCACUGGGCGUAAAGGGAGUCUAGGCGGUUUGGUAAGUGGGAUGUGAAAUCCCUCGGCUCACCCGAGGACCUGCAUCCCAUACUGCUGAGCUUGAGUACAGGAGAGGGUGGGGGAAUUCCUGGUGUAGCGGUGAAAUGCGUAGAUAUCAGGAGGAACACCGGUGGCGAAGGCGCCCACCUGGCCUGCUACUGACGCUGAGGAGCGAAAGCGUGGGGAGCGAACAGG
rnacentral:rRNA from 1 species